AGCGGAUCUCUUCGGAGGUCAGCGGCGGACGGGUGAGUAACACGUGGGCAACCUGCCUGUAAGACUGGGAUAACUCCGGGAAACCGGAGCUAAUACCGGAUACUAUGUCAAACCGCAUGGUUUGACAUUCAAAGACGGUUUCGGCUGUCACUUACAGAUGGGCCCGCGGCGCAUUAGCUAGUUGGUGAGGUAAUGGCUCACCAAGGCGACGAUGCGUAGCCGACCUGAGAGGGUGAUCGGCCACACUGGGACUGAGACACGGCCCAGACUCCUACGGGAGGCAGCAGUAGGGAAUCUUCCGCAAUGGACGAAAGUCUGACGGAGCAACGCCGCGUGAGUGAUGAAGGUUUUCGGAUCGUAAAACUCUGUUGUCAGGGAAGAACAAGUGCCGGAGUAACUGCCGGCGCCUUGACGGUACCUGACCAGAAAGCCACGGCUAACUACGUGCCAGCAGCCGCGGUAAUACGUAGGUGGCAAGCGUUGUCCGGAAUUAUUGGGCGUAAAGCGCGCGCAGGCGGUUUCUUAAGUCUGAUGUGAAAGCCCCCGGCUCAACCGGGGAGGGUCAUUGGAAACUGGGAAACUUGAGUGCAGAAGAGGAGAGUGGAAUUCCACGUGUAGCGGUGAAAUGCGUAGAGAUGUGGAGGAACACCAGUGGCGAAGGCGACUCUCUGGUCUGUAACUGACGCUGAGGCGCGAAAGCGUGGGGAGCGAACAGGAUUAGAUACCCUGGUAGUCC
rnacentral:rRNA from 2 species